rnacentral:rRNA from 1 species
GGCUUAACACAUGCAAGUCGAGGGGCAGCAUGGUCUUAGCUUGCUAAGGCCGAUGGCGACCGGCGCACGGGUGAGUAACACGUAUCCAACCUGCCGUCUACUCUUGGACAGCCUUCUGAAAGGAAGAUUAAUACAAGAUGGCAUCAUGAGUCCGCAUGUUCACAUGAUUAAAGGUAUUCCGGUAGACGAUGGGGAUGCGUUCCAUUAGAUAGUAGGCGGGGUAACGGCCCACCUAGUCUUCGAUGGAUAGGGGUUCUGAGAGGAAGGUCCCCCACAUUGGAACUGAGACACGGUCCAAACUCCUACGGGAGGCAGCAGUGAGGAAUAUUGGUCAAUGGGCGAGAGCCUGAACCAGCCAAGUAGCGUGAAGGAUGACUGCCCUAUGGGUUGUAAACUUCUUUUAUAAAGGAAUAAAGUCGGGUAUGCAUACCCGUUUGCAUGUACUUUAUGAAUAAGGAUCGGCUAACUCCGUGCCAGCAGCCGCGGUAAUACGGAGGAUCCGAGCGUUAUCCGGAUUUAUUGGGUUUAAAGGGAGCGUAGAUGGAUGUUUAAGUCAGUUGUGAAAGUUUGCGGCUCAACCGUAAAAUUGCAGUUGAUACUGGAUAUCUUGAGUGCAGUUGAGGCAGGCGGAAUUCGUGGUGUAGCGGUGAAAUGCUUAGAUAUCACGAAGAACUCCGAUUGCGAAGGCAGCCUGCUAAGCUGCAACUGACAUUGAGGCUCGAAAGUGUGGGUAUCAAACAGGAUUAGAUACCCUGGUAGUCCACACGGUAAACGAUGAAUACUCGCUGUUUGCGAUAUACAGCAAGCGGCCAAGCGAAAGCGUUAAGUAUUCCACCUGGGGAGUACGCCGGCAACGGUGAAACUCAAAGGAAUUGACGGGGGCCCGCACAAGCGGAGGAACAUGUGGUUUAAUUCGAUGAUACGCGAGGAACCUUACCCGGGCUUAAAUUGCAGAUGAAUUACGGUGAAAGCCGUAAGCCGCAAGGCAUCUGUGAAGGUGCUGCAUGGUUGUCGUCAGCUCGUGCCGUGAGGUGUCGGCUUAAGUGCCAUAACGAGCGCAACCCUUGUUGUCAGUUACUAACAGGUUCCGCUGAGGACUCUGACAAGACUGCCAUCGUAAGAUGUGAGGAAGGUGGGGAUGACGUCAAAUCAGCACGGCCCUUACGUCCGGGGCUACACACGUGUUACAAUGGGGGGUACAGAGGGCCGCUACCACGCGAGUGGAUGCCAAUCCCCAAAACCUCUCUCAGUUCGGACUGGAGUCUGCAACCCGACUCCACGAAGCUGGAUUCGCUAGUAAUCGCGCAUCAGCCACGGCGCGGUGAAUACGUUCCCGGGCCUUGUACACACCGCCCGUCAAGCCAUGGGAGCCGGGGGUACCUGAAGUGCGUAACCGCGAGGAGCGCCCUAGGGUAAAACUGGUGACUGGGGCUAAGUAG